rfam:Candidatus Yanofskybacteria bacterium RIFCSPHIGHO2_02_FTLL_43_15c rifcsphigho2_02_scaffold_21764, whole genome shotgun sequence.
AAACUUAAAGAGCAAUCUUUAAAUUAAAAUUAUGUCAGAAGUCAGCAGAGCUCAUAGUACCAAUCGUCUGCCUUUUCAGAGAAAUUUGAAAUUAGCAGAACCGAUGGGGAAGGAG